UCUGGCACACCGACUUAUGAAGCGGUUACAUAUGCUAGAUAUGCUUCAGUUUUUUUUAUGAUUGGUUUAAUUUUAAUUGCUUAUUUUGAAUUAGGAAAACAUUUUGAUUCUAUGCAACUUUUUGAAUGGUUUGUUUGUUCAAUUUGUUACAGGUGUAUCAAACUACUGAUGUUAGGCUAGGACAAUCCACAUGUGUAGGCAUUGGUGGGGGUCCUUUUAAUGGGAUCAACGUUGUUAACUGUAUGAGAAAAUUCAUUAGUGAUCCUUACAUAGAAGGCAACUCAUGAUUUCUAUUUAUCAAGUAUUAGCUUAUCUUUUCAUCUAUUCUUGCAUUGGAUUUGUGGUUUUGGGAACUCUUAUUUGGGAUUAUAUCAACUUUAUUAUAUGAGUUGCCUCUUGGUAUUCUUAGAUAGCAUUCUUAAACUCUUUGUUUUAUGAUGUCUUGCAGGUGAUAGAAAAAUGGGUUUCAAAAUUGAGCAAUUCAACUAUCUAAACUGCCAACAGAGUAGGGAGCCAUGACAGGUCGUGGAUGGAAGUGGUUUACAUCAGUUGUGGUCACCCACCAUAAUGCAAUCCAUUUUCCGAAUAAAUAAAAUUACGAUUCUUGGUUCAGCCACAUCGCCGAAGUAUAGCCUCUUCUCCAGGUUUUGUUGAGAUUUUUUUUUGUUCUUUUGUGAAUAUAUAUAAAACAUGAUUUCUAUCUUCCUGUAUUAUUUCUUAUUCAAGGUUUAGAUCUUAUUUUCUCCUAAAACCUCCCUUCAGCCCCUUCCAAAUAAAGGCACCCGAUUGGUAACCUUGGUUAAUGCAAGGUUGAAAUGAUCAUUUUUUUAUCUUUGGAGUUUUUCUUAUUCAUUUUUGUUCUAAAUAUGAUGUCCGUCUUUGUGCCUCAAAUUAGUUGUGAUUAAAACUAAUUUCCAACUUUCUUUACAGGACUUGAAUUUGAACAAUAGAUUGUAUGAGUUUGUGUUUCUGUUAAGACCAUAUUAAAUAUCUUGGCUCCUUGACUUGAUUGUUUUCAAUGACUCAUAGUCUGUGUGAGUUUUUUUCUAUAUAUAUAUUUUUUAUUUUUCUUAUAACUGCAGAUCAGUUUCAGCAGCUCAAGAUUUAGCUCCUGAAACAUUAGGUUUAAUAAUAACACAUCAACUGCUAGUUUUAGUAGAAACAACAACAAGAACAACAUAUGAUACGACAAUAGGAUCAACGGUUAAAAGGUAUACUUGUCUUUUUAUGAUGGGUCUUUAAUCAUAGAAAGUGUAUGUGGCUAUGUAUGUGUAUUGGAGACUCAUGAAUGUGAAAUUGUUAUUUACAUGCUAAGAAGAUAGUUACCCCUUAUGAUU